ACUGGCAGACUAUUGCAAAAAGGGCACGGGGCAGAGGGACUAUGUUGUGAGCCUGCGAAAGAAGUUUGUGUGGGGACUGUGGGCAGUGAACGCGUUGGGAACAAUAUGGAAAACUGGGAGCCGCCUUGGAAUCUACAGGGCCGGAGAGACCGAGGGGCUCACUAGGUUGACCAGGCUGGUCUUGAACUCCUGGCCUCAAGCCAUCCUCCCACCUCAGCCUCCCAAAGUGCUGGGAUUACAUGCAUGAGCCACCACAUCCAGCCUACCUAAAAUAUUGAAUGCUGUUAAUAAAUCUCCUGAGGCCAGCAUAAGAAGGUGAUGGGCAAAACUAAUGCAGUAGGAGCUGAAAUCGACCAGGGGGUUCUUAUCCAACAGACAGCAGCAAAACUCUUUGUGUAUCUGCGUUCCUUUCAACAAGUGUGACUUCCUCAAUGGCAUCAUUCGUGAGCGUAACACAGAGCUCAGCAAUAACGUUUCUUCACUAACCCUACCAGGGUUUCAGUUGUGCAAUUUCACCAUUAGCAAAGCUUUUUGCUGAAAUCUGGCUUUUCAAAGGGAGAGUAUCCAGAAACAGAAGAUGCUGCUCUGAGAGGCUCUUCCUAAUAGAACUGCUGCUUCAGUUUAGCUUGAAAAAGCCCACACCGAGUUCCUAAUGACAGACAUCUGAACACCGGGUCUUCCCACGAGCAAGACCAUGCUAUGCCUCCUGCUCGCUCUGUUCUAUAAGCAACCCACAGAUUGCUCCCUGUGAAGAGGAGCCUGCCAGGGGAGCAGCAUUCCACCAGACCCUGAUUUAGCAAGAUAUUUCCGUAUCAUUCCCCCAACCAGCUGGAAGUCCUCCAUUGCUCUUGUGUAAAAAUCUAACUCAUCUCGCUGAAUUUCCUGAUUUAAAAGUCUAAUUCAUUUCACCAAAAGUGUGACAGAAGGAAACCAAGUACACCAUCUCUCUC
rnacentral:lncRNA from 10 species